rnacentral:rRNA from 1 species
GGGAAGAGCCCAGCACUGAAUCCCGCGGCCGGAAACGACGCCGGGAAAUGUAGUGUUUGGGAGGAUCCGCUAUCCCGACGUCCGCGGUGCGUCCAAGUUCUUCUUGAACGGGGCCAUUUACCCAUAGAGGGUGCCAGGCCCGUAGCGACCGCCGCCGGCGACGGGAGGAUCUCUCCUCAGAGUCGGAUUGCUUGAGAGUGCAGUCCUAAGUGGGUGGUAAACUCCAUCUAAGGCUAAAUAUAACCACGAGACCGAUAGCGAACAAGUACCGUGAGGGAAAGUUGAAAAGAACUUUGAAGAGAGAGUUCAAUAGUACGUGAAACCGUUCAGGGGUAAACCUGAGAAACCCGAAAGUUCGACCGGGGAGAUUCAGCGUGUCUCGCGUGUGGGCGAGCGGUACUCGUGCGACGAGCGGCGUACGCGCCGUGAGCGCCCCGUGCCGCCGCUGUCCCGCCGCGUACGCGUGCACUUCUCCCCCAGUAGGACGUCGCGACCCGUUGGGCGUCGGUCUGAGGCCCGCGGUGGAGCCCGCGCGUGUUCGCACGCACGGACCCGCGGUCGCCCGACCGGCUCGCUCGACGGUAUGACUGUGGCGAGGGGCCGCGACUCGUUCGCGUCCGACCCGUCGCAAGCGCGCGCGGUCAACUCGAUGCGUCGGACCUGUGUGCCGGCCUCGAGCCCGUGCGGCUGCUGGCGGCGGUGUUCUCGGACAGACUCCGUACACGCCCGUCUGCGACGCUAUUGCUUUGGGUACUUUCAGGGCCCGUCUUGAAACACGGACCAAGGAGUCUAGCAUGUGCGCGAGUCACUGGGACUUGUAUAAACCCAAAGGCGAAAUGAAAGUGAAGGCGGGUCUCGCGCCCGCCUAGGGAAGAUCGGUCGUACCCCCCACAGGGGUGGGCCCGCACUCCCGGGGCGUCUCGUCCUCAUCGCGUCAUUACGAGGACCCAGAGCGUACAUGCUGGGACCCGAAAAU